rnacentral:rRNA from 1 species
GAUGAACGCUGGCGGCGUGCCUAAUACAUGCAAGUCGAGCGAACGGACGAGAAGCUUGCUUCUCUGAUGUUAGCGGCGGACGGGUGAGUAACACGUGGAUAACCUACCUAUAAGACUGGGAUCACUUCGGGAAACCGGAGCUAAUACCGGAUAAUAUUUUGAACCGCAUGGUUCAAAAGUGAAAGACGGUCUUGCUGUCACUUAUAGCUGGAUCCGCGCUGCAUUAGCUAGUUGGUAAGGUAACGGCUUAUCAAGGCAACGAUGCAUAGCCGACCUGAGAGGGUGAUCGGCCACACUGGAACUGAGACACGGUCCAGACUCCUACGGGAGGCAGCAGUAGGGAAUCUUCCGCAAUGGGCGAAAGCCUGACGGAGCAACGCCGCGUGAGUGAUGAAGGUCUUCGGAUCGUAAAACUCUGUUAUUAGGGAAGAACAUAUGUGUAAGUAACUGUGCACAGCGUGACGGUACCUAAUCAGAAAGCCACGGCUAACUACGUG